GACGAACGCUGGCGGCGUGCUUAACACAUGCAAGUCGAACGGAAAGGCCCUGCGUUUGUGGGGUGCUCGAUUGGCGAACGGGUGAGUAACACGUGAGUAUACUGCCCUUAUCUUUGGGGUAACAUCAGGAAACUGGGGCGAAUACCGGGUAUGAGCUCUUGCUGCAUAGGGUGGGUUGGAAAAUUUCGGCGUUGGGGGAUGGUCUAGCGGCUUAUGCGCUUCUUGGGGGGGUAGUGGCUUACCAGGGUUUUGACGGGUAGGCGGCCUGAGAGGGUUACCGGCCACAUUGGGACUGAGGGACGGCGCAGACGGCUACGGGAGGCAGCAGGGGGGAAUAUUGCAGAAUGGGCGGAAGCGUGAUGCAGCAACGCCGCGUGCGGGAUGACGGCCUUCGGGUUGUGAACCGCUGUCGACUGUGAAGAAGCGGGAGUGACGGUAAUGGGUAAAGAAGCACCGGCUAACUACGUG
rnacentral:rRNA from 1 species